GAUGCCCACCUACAAAUCUUGAUAGAACAAUUAAAGUUUUUUGAUCACAAGCUUCAAAACUGCAAAGAUAAUAAGCAGAGAAAGAAAACUGAAACUCUCAAAGAGAAGCAAAUAGCAUGGUGGAAUCAAUGAAACACUGCACUGUGUUGAUGCAGACUGCUGAAGACCAGAAUAAUGCUGAGAAGCACGCAGAUAGAAUUAUAAGUACUAUUAAUCUUGUAGAUGCAGUGUAUCAACCUAGUCCCUGGGAACCUGUGAUCAGCACAAUGCCUUCCCAGACUGUCUCACCUCCCUCUGGAACCUACUCAACUGCAUAAGACAGAGCAGAGUUCAUCUUCCUGACCAGUUGGACCUGUACUAAUUGCCUUGGGACAUCAUUAGACUCCAACACCAAAUAGUAGAGGCAGUGCCCAUUCACCACCUAGUAGCGGUCUAACUUCUCCAAGCCAUGUCAAUGGCUUCUCUAAAUACAAUCCCAGAAUUCUCUUAUUCCAGCAGUGAAGAUGAAUUCUACAAUGCUGAUGAAUGUCAUCAACAUGGCUCAUCCCCAAAGCACUUAAUAGAUUCUUCUGAAUCUGCGUCAAUCUUGACACAUGGCAGUGCGGAAAACAGACUAAAGUGCCCAGAUAGCACAGAAUCACUUAAUUCUUUCACAUCCAAUGGAACAAGUGAUGCUGACUCUUGAUUCACAUGAUGAGAGACCUGACAAGGAGGAGGCAGGGUCCAUGGAGGAGCAUAAGAGCGUUACCACACACUUCUUGUCACAGGUUAGGCUUAGUAUGGAUCUUACUAAAGUAGAUCUUCCACCAUUUUUUCUUGAAAGAGGAUCUCUUUUAGAAGCAUAUGCAGACAUUUUUUGCAUAUCCAACCUUUUUGCGAACAUUGGUGACCAGGGAUUGAACGGUUCAGAAUGUGAAAUGGUACCUCUCAGCCUUUCAUGCAAGAAGGAAAGAAUCAAUUGUCAAAAAGUCAUUUUAGCAAGAUCUUUCAGUGUCAAUGGAUAUUACCAAAUGAUACCAAAGAGAACACAGAGCUAGUUUUAGAAGGACCAGUUCCCUGGGUUUCCAAAAACAAUGUAAAAUUUGUAGCUGAACAGAUUUCCCAUCAUCCACCUACUUUAGCCUUUUAUGCUGAGUGUUUAUCAGAAAGAUUCAAUUCAUUGGUGAUAUCUGGACCUAAUCAAAAUUCCUCAGGAUGUCAAUUGGGACACACAACAUAGGGUGGGGCCACAAGCCCUGUGUCUUUUGUUUUAACUAUGAGAAACAUUACAUCCUCACAUUCCCCAGUGUUUACGGAUGUUCUAUCCUCGCAGUGCUCUGAAUGGAACUAGGAGGAGAAUGCAAUAUUAAUUAUUCCAAAACUGGUGAUAGUGCAAACAUCAUCUUCCACACUGAACCUUUCUCUGGGGACAGGAAGCACAGAAUUACCACUGUGAUUUUUUUCUCCAAAGGAUGAGAAGCCUUCUGCUCAACUGAAGGGGAAUGGAAUGGUGUAAUGUAUGCAAAAUAUGCAACAGGGGAAAAUGCAGUCUUUGUAGAUACCAAGAAGAUGUCUAUAAUGAAGAAGAUAGGAAGUUGAAAGAUCAGAAAAAAUAUGAAUCUCACUGCCUUUAGAAGGAUGUACUUUCAACAAAAAAUCAGAGAUAUUGAUGCGGCAACUGAAGCAAAACACAAACUUGAAAAAGACAGAGAAGAAACCCAAGAAAGGAAGGAGAAGGAAAUCCAAUGGGAGACAAGCUUAUUUCAUGAAGUUGGAAGAUAUUGGGUUUAUGAUGAACUAUUACUGAAUUAUCUUGGUGCU
rnacentral:lncRNA from 1 species